GACGAACCGUGCGAACGUUAUUCGGAAUCACUGGGCGUAAAGCGCGUGUAGGCGGCCCGGUAAGUCCGCUGUGAAAGUCCAGGGCUCAACCCUGGGAUGCCGGUGGAUACUGUCGGGCUCGAGUCCGGAAGAGGCGAGUGGAAUUCCUGGUGUAGCGGUGAAAUGCGCAGAUAUCAGGAAGAACACCCGUGGCUAAGGCGGCUCUCUAGUACGGUACUGACGCUGAGACGCGAAAGCGUGGGGAGCGAACAGG
rnacentral:rRNA from 1 species